AGGCCCGCCCCGAGUCUUACUCCAACCAUUCGUGGGGGAGGAUGCCUAAGGCAGUGCUGGUGACUGGGGUGAAGUCGUAACAAGGUAGCCGUACCGGAAGGUGUGGCUGGAUCACCUC
rnacentral:rRNA from 1 species